GUCAAAGUAGAAAGAUGGAGUUGGGAAGCUUUAGCCUUUAGCCAUACAAACACACGGUGAAUCCUUGUUUAAAAUUCCCGGAGGUGAAGCUUUCCUAUGGAUCAGAGCGGUCAAGCGAACAUGGAUCCCGACCAAAUGUCAACCGGCAGUUUUCGGAGAGAAAAUUGUGGUAAAAAGUCGCCACUUACCGGAGAUAAGCUGAGCUUGCGCCGUCCUUGUAUUUGCCGUCGACUUCCAUCAGACACUGGCCUCAAGACACCCGUGGACACAUCCCUCCGACUAUCAGAGGCCCAGAAGACUCCUCAUUCUUCUUGUCCUCCAGGGUGGAACAGGACGAGCCUUAGACCCCCACAUCAAAGAAGAAUAAGAUGAUGGGGAGGAGCCGAGUCACACUUGCCCUGGAUGAUCAGGACUGGUCCAACAAGACAGGUCCAGGAUUGACAUACGCACGCUCUCACGUCAAACCUUUCACCUGCAACAAGACCUUCAGCCGUAAGUCAUACUUGAGGAAGCACCUGAAAGUUCCCUUCCUCGCUGUGCGCCAAAAGAUUCAAGCAGCACCGAGAACUCAUUGCUCACUUAAAGGUCCACACCGGAGAGAAACCUUUACUCUGCACCAUUUGUCACAAGCGCUUCCAAUAGCGUACACGUCAGUUUGGCACAUGAGACUCCACACAAAACUGUGAACAUUUGGACUCUCCUGACUUGUUAUUCCUUAUUUUCAAUCCAUCCAUUUUCUACCACUUGUCCCUUUUGGGGUCGCGGGGGUGCUGGAGCCUAUCUCAGCUGCAUUCGGGCGGAAGGCGAGGUACACCCUGGAAAAGUCGCCACCUCAUCGCAGGGCCAACACAGAUAGACAGACAACAUUCACACUCACAUUCACACACUAGGGCCGAUUUAGUGUUGCCAAUCAACCUAUCCCCAGGUGCAUUUAUCAUUACGAUUUAUUUUGUCUUGACAAAGUCUACUGGAUUACGUUAUGCCUUGGGAGCCACGGUAGAAAAUGAGCUGAUAACUCAGGGCUUUUACUCAUUGUGUAGUGCCUGUACUUAACUUUGAUUCACCAGGGAGUCGCGGUCGCUGGUUCAAUGCUGAUUUUAGAGGCUGGACUGUGCAGACAGGCUCGCUUUUUGCAUCAGGAAAAAACAUUUACAUUCCUGGUUGAAGUUAGAAAACAGGUUUUCAGAUGUUGUUUGACUUGUUCCAACAAAAUGAGGUCAAUAGUUCAUUGAAUCACAUCAACAAAAUACACAAAAAUUCCAAAAUGUGAACAUUCUCAGUGUGUGCGUGUGGGUGGGAGUGACAAGUUCACUUUGCAAUAAAACUAAGUAAAGUAUGUUUGUUAAUUUGCGAUAAUGGAAGUACACUUUGUUACAAACUAUUAAUGCAGGAUGUGUGUGUCAAUAGAUACACACUUCCUGCAUUAAUCACGAUGACAUCAUGAACAUCUUCUGUUGUUCAGGUGCAGACAGAGAUUUCCAGGGACCCCGAAAAAAUAAAAAAAAAUAAACACGUUUUUCUCUAAA